GCAGAGGACUCGGAUUGGGGUCCCAGUACCCACAAGGCAGCUCACAGCCCUCAGUAACUCCAGUUUCUGGGCACCCAAUGCAGCCUUCUGCCCACCCACCCUGCUGGCGACAGGCAUGCAUUUGGAGCGUACACACACAUGCGGGUCAACGCACACGCAGAUGUUUAAAAGAUGUGAAGUCUUUUAAACGUGUAAUCGCCUGUAGAAUGAAUACGGCUGAGUACUGAUGGGUAGUGAUGUUGUGAGCUAUAAUUAAUGCCACCUGUUUUCAUCUCCAUGCUUCCUUCCUGCUGGAAGGCAGAAGCAGCCCUUACUGGCUGUCGUUUUCCCCAAAGCUCUAACACAUGAAGAAGUAGAAGGGAAAAUGGAUGAUAGCCCCAAACCAGGUGCACAGACACAGGACAGACGCGCUGACUGAAGAAAGUGACAUUAUCAAAGAAGGGCAGCGUCCACAGUGGUGCUGUUAGCCUGUGAUCCCAGCUCUUGGAAGACUGAGGCUGGGAGAGCCCCGGUCAAAGGCCACUGUGGGCUGCAUAGCUAAUUCCAAGCUAAGAUACACAGCAAGACCUUAUCUCAGACAGGAUGGAAGACACGGGAGAGAGGGAGGGAGGGAGAAGGGAAGAAAACGCUACAAUUGCGCCCUCAAGGAGUAUGGCUUAAGAGACAGGAAGACACGGGCCCGGUGGCCCCUAAGUCCGAGUUCCUCCAGUGAUUUCAGCUUGUAGCCAUCAACAUACCAAUGCAGCCUAACUUGAGAUGGCACUGAACACGGAGCGUUAGCUGCACCAGUGUGUGGUUAGGAAUGUCCUCCAUGUCAAAUGCUGUGGUUCACAUCUGUAAGCCCAGCAUUUUGCAGGCUAAGGCAAGAGGAUCAUUGCAAGUUCGAGGCCAGCCUGGACUGCAUGGUGAGUCUGAGGACAGCCUGGACUACAAGAUUGGGACCUUAUCUCAAAACAUACAUAAAAAGAUUAUCCUUCAUCUGUAAUGCUUUUCAUCAGAAUCACGGUGGGAAAACAGAUUUCAUAGUAUCUGCCUGUAAUGUCAGCACUUGGGAAACUGAGGCAAGAAGGCAGCGGUGAAUUAGAGGACAGCCUGGAUGCUACUGAUACCUUGACUCUAAAUAGAUAAAUAAACAACUGUGGUUAAACAA